AUUUUAAAAGAAUUGAGUAUUUUUUCUUAAAAGAAAUGAGUUUAUUAUGAGUUAAAAUGCUGUAUUGAUGCAUGCAUGUUAUAUAAACAUAUGUUGGUGUGAAAAUUAAAAUUUUUAUAUAUUUCUUAAAUUAUUCAUGAUAAAUUAUGUAUUUUAUAUUAGAUGAAAUCUUCUAGUGAAUUUUAGUAAUGGGUAUUAGGAAAAAAAAUUUGAAAAGUUCAUGGAUAUUAUGAGAAUUGGGAAGUUAGAAUGAGCGUGUGUGUGUGCGUAUAAUUGGGGAGUUAAAAUAAAUUGUUGAGUUUAGUGAUUCCUAAAUGGUAAUUGUAUAUUUUAUUAUUGCCGACUAAAAUUGAUUGUGAUAUUGAAAUGAAACUAAGGAGAUUAUAUUUUUACUUUCAUGUUAAUUAAGAAAUUAUAUAACUAAAUUAUAUAUAAUAUAUAUGU
rnacentral:misc_RNA from 1 species